rnacentral:rRNA from 1 species
UACGGAGGGGGCUAGCGUUGUUCGGAAUUAUUGGGCGUAAAGCGCGCGCAGGCGGCUUGGCAAGUCGGGGGUGAAAUCCCGGGGCUCAACCCCGGAACUGCACUCGAUACUGCCAAGCUAGAGUCUCGGAGAGGAUGGCGGAAUUCCCGGUGUAGAGGUGAAAUUCGUAGAUAUCGGAAGGAACACCAGCGGCGAAGGCGGCCAUCUGGACGGUGACUGACGCUCAGACGCGAAAGCGUGGGGAGCAAACAGG